AGAAAUGAAAAGCCACUUUUCUCAGGACA
rnacentral:tRNA from 1 species